CCUACGGGCGGCAGCAGUGAGGAAUAUUGAUCAAUGGACGGAAGUCUGAACCAGCCAUGCCGCGUGCAUGAAGACGGCCCUAGGAGUUGUAAACUGCUUUUGUACAAGGGUAAACCUGAAUACUUGUAUUCAGCUGAAAGUACUGUACGAAUACAGAUCGGCUAACUCCGUUCCAGCAGCCGCGUUAAUACGGAGGAUGCAAGCGUUAUCCGGAUUUGUUGGGUUUAAAGGGUGCGGAGGCGGAUUGAUAAGUUAGAGGUGAAAUGUCCGAGCUUAACUCGGGAACUGCCUCUAAUACUGUUGAUCUAGAGAGUAGAUGCGGGAGGCGGAAUGUAAGGUGUAGCGGUGAAAUGCUUAGAGAUCAUACAGAACACCGAUUGCGAAGGCAGCUUACCAAUCUAUAUCUGACGUUGAGGCACGAAAGCGUGGGGAGCAAACAGGAUUAGAUACCCUUGUAGUC
rnacentral:rRNA from 1 species